CAGAAGUUUCCUUUCCGUCUCUUGCCUCUCCCGCGCUUCCAGCCCUCAACCCACGACCGCUCGCUCUCCCGCCGGCGCUUUCCACCACCACCGCUGCUCGCUCUCCAGCAGGCAACCUCCACCACCACCGUCGUGCCCCGAAGUGAAUGGCAAUUUGCGAGCGAGGGUUUUAAUCGAGGAGUCUCGAUUCAUCUCAAGCUGCAUUAUCUACGAUGGAUGCUGCAGCUUCCAAUAAAAGUACAUUAAAAAAAGGAGGUCAAGUAUCUAGAGGUUGAGGAACAAGCUUUCUUGUACGUGUGGAGGCUCUGAAUCAAAGAUUGUUUUACACAACAGCGCAUUUGCUCUCCACGCAUCUGCAGGAAAUUGAAUCCCUUCGCUCUGUUAUUCCUAAGUCACUAUUGCGUGUUUUGUCUGCCGCAUGCAAGGCAUUGUUUGAUCGAUGCUGCAUUUCCUUAUUCCUUAUAAGGUCGUGCAUCGUGGAACUCUUGGAUGAGAAUAAACACCUUGUGUGCUCACAGGUACUCUUCUAUCUCUACUUUCUAUGGAAUGUCCGGAACGAGAUUGAGUUGCGUGCACGAAAACAAAGUGGAGAACUUCCCAUUGUCAUAUGCAAGUAAUCUCUUGAACUCUCCAAAGCAGCAUUAAGGUCCCUUGAUACUGCAUCAGCCAACCCAAGACUAUAAGCCACUUCUGGGUUCUCUCUCUCAAUCAUGGCCUCUCUUCAAGACAGCCAGCCUUCUUCCACAAUACAGGAAGCGAUUACUGUGCCGUAUGGAACAUCUCCUGUAAUUUGCAGUCUCCAAAAACACCAACAGGCAAGCCUUUAAGGUAAUGCAUCUUUGACUGUGUCCAGGAUAGAAUUGCACUACUCGGCAGCCUCUGUCAAAUCACAAACAGAAGGUGAGUCUUCUAUGGUUCACAUUCAUUGAAUUCUGAAAUCAACUUACCCAAAAGAAAAAAGAAAAAGCAAAACGUGUGAAGUUUAUAGAAAACAAAAACUGAGAAAGAGAACAAAAACAUGCUUACAAGCAUUCAUAGGAAUUGUCAACAUAUUUAUUACCACAUGAAAUUUUGAAGUUAGGCAAUAUAUAAUCAAUUUGUUCGUUUAACUCUAAUAGUAACGUUCUUUUACAACGGAAGAAAGUUGAAACUGUCUAGACCGUAAAAGGUUACAUGAAAAGAAGGAGAAAAGCAUUUAUUUGAAGCGUCAGUAUAAAAAAUGCAAUAAAGAGGAAAAGAUAUGGAAAGAGAAGCAAGCCGCAAAAAAGGAAAAAAAGCCUCCUUACACGUGUAUGUACUGCUCCGCAUUUGAAUCACCACACAAUUGAUCAAUGU